rnacentral:lncRNA from 1 species
AAGAACACGAGCGACUUGCAGGUAUACAAGCUACUUGGCAAUAUGUUUUGCUUCUCCUCAUAAUGAGAACUAUAAAUCUUCAGCUCACGUAUGUAGCGAGAAACAACUACUAAAACCCACAUUUUGAUAGCUUCAGGUUUUCUAAUUUGAAUCACUUAACACAAGACGGAAGCUUUCUAUAACCGGAGCUCUAUGUAAUGGCAGAUUUCUAUCAAGAAAACACUGUAAACUCUUGAAAUCAGACUCUGAAUAAUGUUUAUUACCAAACUCAAGUUUUACAAGGACUGCAACAAUUGUAUCUGAUGCAUGUUUGGUUUCAGAACUCGAGAUGAUAAAGGAGUUGACACGUUCUUCCCGAGCUUCAACAACAUGCGAGCUUAACUUUUAAUGAGGUUUUGAAUCAUUAGAUGUUUUCAUUGAUAUAAUAGGAUUCUAAGUUCCAUCAGGAAAUGAAUGUCUUGUUCUUUUACUCUCCUGCUUGUAUGGUUUCUCUUCCAUCUCUGAAAACUUUAUUUGGAUGUAAACCGCAAUAUCUCUGUCUUGUGGUCUUCCUAAGUAUUGUGCCCAAGUGAUAUUUUGUAGACUCGACAACAUGCAUUCAGGAACAGUACUCGGUUGAUUCCAGGAAAGCAUAUCAACAUUCUCAUAAUUCUGAGAUUAAGGAGAAGAAUCAGAUUGAAAAUAAAAAAAAAAAAUCAUGUGCAAUAGAUAAAAAAUAAUAGUUAAUAGAAGGAACCUUACAUCGGUUUGGGAGGAGAGUAUUAGUUCUCGUAAGUUAGGAGUGUCUUUGAGGAACUGGACAAGGAGAUGCGAUGAAUACUCUUUCCAUACAUAUAUCGUCAGAUGCUCAAGGUGGUUGAAGAUAAAACCGUCACCAUUCGCAACCUGCGGACGAUAAAAAAAAUAAAUUAACAGAGACUUUUAUAAAUAAGAUUAACGACUUGAAGUUUAGAGAUUGAAACUGAUUACCUUAGAGCAUAUUGUAAGCUUCUUGACAGAUGUGAUUGAUCCUAGGAGACUCUUGAUAUCAGCGAAUGUAACAUCGACAUAUGCUUCCGUCAGCUUAGGCAUAUUCGCAAUCAAAAAAGGGUGACUAUCAUAAUUAAGAUCCACAAGUUUGAUAAUACUCUAAAGAAGGAGUAUCUAUGACAAACUCAUCUAAAUCACAAUGAUAACCUAUAUAGAGUGAUAAACAUCGCAAAGAUGGGACAAUAACAGUGAACUUUCCCAUAAUGUCAUGACGAUGAAGUAAAUGCACAACUAGAUUUUCAAGAACAGGGCAAGUAGAUAGAAGCCGCUGAAGAUAUCCUUCUUUGAAGUAGCACCCACCUUUGAGUACCAAAGUUUUCAAAGAGGGAAGACAAACCAUUCGAGGAACAUCCAAGAGAAUCCUGCCAUCGAGUUUCAAGAACACGAGCGACUUGCAGGUAUACAAGCUACUUGGCAAUAUGUUUUGCUUCUCCUGAUGACGAGAAAUAUAAAUCUUCAGCUCACGUACAUAGCGAGAAAGAACUACUACAACCCACAUUCUGAUAUCUUCAGGUUUCAAUACUGACUCACUUAGCUUAAGACGGAAGCUUUCUAUAACCGGAGCUCUAUGUAACGGCAGAUUUCUAUUAAGAAAACACUGUAAACUCUUGCAUUCAGGUUCUGAAUAAUAUCUAUCACAGUAAUCAAGUUUUGU